rnacentral:rRNA from 1 species
GAGUUUGAUCGUGGCUCAGAGCGAACGCUGGCGGCAUGCUUAACACAUGCAAGUCGCACGGUCAGCAAUGGCAGUGGCGGACGGGGUGAGUAACACGUAGGAAUCUAUCUCUGGGUGGGGGACAACAGUGGGAAACUACUGCUAAUACCGCAUGAUACCUGAGGGUCAAAGGCGUAAGUCGCCUGGAGAGGAGCCUGCGUCUGAUUAGCUUGUUGGUGGGGUAAAGGCCUACCAAGGCUACGAUCAGUAGCUGGUCUGAGAGGAUGAUCAGCCACAUUGGGACUGAGACACGGCCCAAACUCCUACGGGAGGCAGCAGUGGGGAAUAUUGGACAAUGGGCGAAAGCCUGAUCCAGCAAUGCCGCGUGUGUGAAGAAGGUCUUCGGAUUGUAAAGCACUUUUGGUCAGGGACGAUGAUGACGGUACCUGCAGAAUAAGCCCCGGCUAACUUCGUGCCAGCAGCCGCCGUAAUACCUGAAUGCCAAGGCACAC